ACCAGACAUUUUAGAUCACUUUGAGGCUAGGCCCUGAACUCCUCACCCUACUUGGCCCACAAAUGUGUAUUCGCAAUAGUGCGUUCUCUUUUCCUCGUAUUGGCUUUGGUCUUCUGUUCUGCUCUUCUGUAUCAUCGACAGCCGUUUUCGAUUCAACCAGUCGUGUAUGUACACGGUGAUUUAACGCGCAUGCGCGGUUUUGAAAAGCAAUAUUUCUGCGGAUAUAUAUUAAAAUGUCGUCAAGAUCAACUCAUUACCGAAAGCGCCGUCGUUUUCUGGAAGAGGCAGAGCGUGAAUUCGAAGCUAAAUACAAUCGUUUGGAGGCUUCUGGAUCCUUUUCCCGUAUUGUGUAUUGUGUAUUGUGAGUGUUAAAGUGCAGUGGAAAACCAUUCGUGAUCGCAUUGGAAACCAACGCGGAACCAGUGGCGGAUUGCUUAUACGAGGCCAUUAGAGAAAUGAAAAUCGGGGCCCUAAGAAAGCCAUACGGGGGGCCCUAUCAAUUUGGAAUAUGUGUGAAUCCAGCAAGUAAGGGAACUCGGAACCCCAGCAGCUAAUUAGUACGCGUAUCGUGAAACGGGCCGAGUAAAUCCGAUACUGAUAUCCAUCCAUUUUGUAUCAAAAUAACCGAACGCUACCGUGCCGGAGUAAACCAAUUUGACAAUAAACCUUGCCUAUACAAAAAAUGUUUCAUGUGAACUAGACCAUCGUCUAUUUCGGAGCCGUCCAAAACCAAACCGAUAU